AGCAGCCCCACUCGACCCCAGGGACUACACGCAAGCCACUCAGAAGCCCCACUGGAGUUUGUAUGUGUUUGUGUGUCUGUCAAAGAGUGUAUGUGUGCUUGUCAGUGAGCGUGUGUGUGUGUGUGUGUGUAUAUAUGUUUGUCAGUGAGAAUAUGUAUGUGUGCUUGUCAGUGAGAGUGUAUAUGUGUUUGUGUAUCUGUAAAAGAGUAUGUGUGUUUGUCAGUGAGAGUGUAUGUGUGUCUGUCAAAGAAUAUGUGUGUCAGUGUGUGUAUUUGUGUGUCAAGGUUUGUAUAUGUGUCACUGUGUGUAUCUGAGUGUGUGUGUGUGUAUGUCAGUAUGUGUGUGUAUGUACCAGUGUGUGUGUCUGU